rnacentral:rRNA from 1 species
UGAAACAAGAUACAGGCUAGCGGCGGACGGGUGAGUUAACACGUGGGUAACCCUGCCCCAAAGAGAUCGGGAUAACACCUGGAAACAGAUGCUAAUACCGGAUAACAACAGAUGAUGCCUAUCAACUGUUUUAAAAAGAUGGUUCUGCUAUCACUCUUGGAUGGACCUGCGGUGCAUUAGCUAGUUGGUAGGGUAACGGCCUACCAAGGCGAUGAUGCAUAGCCGAGUUGAGAGACUGAUCGGCCACGUUGGGACUGAGACACGGCCCAAACUCCUACGGGAGGCAGCAGUAGGGAAUCUUCCACAAUGGACGCAAGUCUGAUGGAGCAACGCCGCGUGAGUGAAGAAGGGUUUCGGCUCGUAAAGCUCUGUUGUUGGUGAAGAAGGACAGGGGUAGUAACUGACCUUUGUUUGACGGUAAUCAAUUAGAAAGUCACGGCUAACUACGUGCCAGCAGCCGCGGUAAAU